rnacentral:rRNA from 1 species
AUUGAACGCUGGCGGCAGGCUUAACACAUGCAAGUCGAGCGGAGCGAGGGUGCUUGCACCUUAGCUUAGCGGCGGACGGGUGAGUAAUGCUUAGGAAUCUGCCUAUCAGUGGGGGACAACAUUUCGAAAGGAAUGCUAAUACCGCAUACGUCCUACGGGAGAAAGCAGGGGAUCUUCGGACCUUGCGCUAAUAGAUGAGCCUAAGUCGGAUUAGCUAGUUGGUGGGGUAAAGGCCUACCAAGGCGACGAUCUGUAGCGGGUAUGAGAGGAUGAUCCGCCACACUGGGACUGAGACACGGCCCAGACUCCUACGGGAGACAGCAGUGGGGAAUAUUGGACAAUGGGCGGAAGCCUGAUCCAGCCAUGCCGCGUGUGUGAAGAAGGCCUUAUGGUUGUAAAGCACUUUAAGCGAGGAGGAGGCUACUUUAGUUAAUACCUAGAGAUAGUGGACGUUACUCGCAGAAUAAGCACCGGCUAACUCUGUGCCAGCCGCCGCCGUAAGAC